CCAGCUGAGAAGCAGAGAGGCUCAGGCUGCCUGGGAGAGCAAGCAGGGUACCUGAGGUGGAGCAGAAGAGCUCUUGCCUGGAAAGGUUGGAACUAAACUGUGGCCUGGCAAGAGUCACAUGAAAAGGUGGACUAUCACAGGACCAUAGCAACCAUCAGCAGGGGGGGCUAGACAAGAAAGAGCAACUACACCAUGCCCAGCCACAAGGAGGCACUCCACUGAGUGAGAGAAACCAGGGAGGAAGCAAGAGCUGUUGUCGUUCUCACUUCUGAGAUAUCCCUGGAAAGGUACAGGCUGCACUAGAGGAUGAGGGAACUCCUGGGAAGAAGUAGGCUGUUGGCCCCCUUUCUGGAGAGGAAGCACUGGGAAAGAUUUUCAUUACCCCAAAAGGAGUUGAAACUACUGUACCAGAGUGAAAACCUCAGGUAGCAGCCACAUCUGAAGGCAACAGCUUCAGCCAGGACCUGAAGACAAACUGAUGAAGUCUCUUCAGAACCUUUCAGCUCAUCUUCUGCUGCAAUAUCUCCAUCAGAGCAAGUGAGAUUUUUGUCUCUCUACCCACUGUUUUGAGUAGAAGGAAUGGUUGAUGCAAAACGAGACUGAUAUCCUCCCUGACCCCUGUGCAAGCACAGGAAUUACAUUUGAGUCUCCAACAUGACAACACAAACAAUUACCAUUGACUCCAUUUGUCUCUUUUCUGUAAGAUUUCUGUAUGACAGCAGCUUGUUUUUUACUUGGCAUCUGUUUUCUACUAUUGAUAGAAAUGUGCUAUGUUAUCAGCAAAAUCACCAAGCAAGUGGCAUUUUCUGUACUUCUACAUUUGUUGUUCAACUGCACUUGUCAGAUCACACUUGUGCUGCUAGGCUAAUCCUUUGCUAAAGACAAGGAGGGAGAAAAUACUUAUCUCUGCCUGCCUCCCUCUUCUCUCAUCUCAACGGCCUAACUCUUUGUCUUCUGAAAGGAAAUCUAUUGCCUGCAAUAGCUCCACUGUAAGCCAGGUAAGCUUUUCUGAGAUGCCUAACGUGCACCUGAUGUCAGAGAAACUCCUUGUGAAUGCAAUCAAAUGAAGUGUUGAUCAUUUAUUAAGUUCAGAGUAACUUGUA